rnacentral:rRNA from 1 species
GAUCAUGGCUCAGGACGAACGCUGGCGGCGUGCCUAACACAUGCAAGUCAACGGAGUUGCCCUUCGGGGACAACUUAGUGGCGAACGGGUGAGUAACGCGUGAGGAACCUGCCUUUCAUGGGGGACAACAGUUGGAAACGACUGCUAAUACCGCAUAAUGUCAUCGAGCGGCAUCGCUUGAUGACCAAAGAUUUAUUGCUGAAAGAUGGCCUCGCGUCUGAUUAGCUAGUUGUGGGGUAACGGCCACCAUGGCGACGAUCAGUAGCCGGUCUGAGAGGAUGAACGGCCACAUUGGGACUGAGAUACGGCCCAGACUCCUACGGGAGGCAGCAGUGGGGAAUAUUGGGCAAUGGGCGAAAGCCUGACCCAGCAACGCCGCGUGAGGGAAGAAGGUUUUCGGAUUGUAAACCUCUGUCCUAAGGGAAGAAGGAAGUGACGGUACCUUAGGAGGAAGCCCCGGCUAACUACGUG